rnacentral:rRNA from 1 species
UAACACGUGGGUAACCUACCUAUAAGACUGGAAUAACUCCGGGAAACCGGGGCUAAUGCCGGAUAACAUUUAGAACCGCAUGGUUCUAAAGUGAAAGAUGGUUUUGCUAUCACUUAUAGAUGGACCCGCGCCGUAUUAGCUAGUUGGUAAGGUAACGGCUUACCAAGGCAACGAUACGUAGCCGACCUGAGAGGGUGAUCGGCCACACUGGAACUGAGACACGGUCCAGACUCCUACGGGAGGCAGCAGUAGGGAAUCUUCCGCAAUGGGCGAAAGCCUGACGGAGCAACGCCGCGUGAGUGAUGAAGGUCUUCGGAUCGAAAAACUCUGUU